rnacentral:rRNA from 1 species
GAUGAACGCUGGCGGCGUGCUUAACACAUGCAAGUCGAACGGAGUGCCUUUGAAAGAGGAUUCGUCCAAUUGAUAAGGUUACUUAGUGGCGGACGGGUGAGUAACGCGUGAGGAACCUGCCUUGGAGUGGGGAAUAACACAGUGAAAAUUGUGCUAAUACCGCAUAAUGCAGUUGGGUCGCAUGACUCUGACUGCCAAAGAUUUAUCGCUCUGAGAUGGCCUCGCGUCUGAUUAGCUAGUUGGUGGGGUAACGGCCCACCAAGGCGACGAUCAGUAGCCGGACUGAGAGGUUGGCCGGCCACAUUGGGACUGAGACACGGCCCAGACUCCUACGGGAGGCAGCAGUGGGGAAUAUUGGGCAAUGGGCGCAAGCCUGACCCAGCAACGCCGCGUGAAGGAAGAAGGCUUUCGGGUUGUAAACUUCUUUUCUUAGGGACGAAGCAAGUGA